rnacentral:rRNA from 1 species
GCGAACGCUGGCGGCAGGCCUAACACAUGCAAGUCGAACGGAUCCUUCGGGAUUAGUGGCGGACGGGUGAGUAACACGUGGGAACGUGCCUUUUGGUUCGGAAUAGCUCCUGGAAACGGGUGGUAAUGCCGAAUGUGCCCUUCGGGGGAAAGAUUUAUCGCCAUUAGAGCGGCCCGCGUCUGAUUAGCUAGUUGGUGAGGUAAAGGCUCACCAAGGCUACGAUCAGUAGCUGGUCUGAGAGGAUGACCAGCCACAUUGGGACUGAGACACGGCCCAAACUCCUACGGGAGGCAGCAGUGGGGAAUCUUGCGCAAUGGGCGAAAGCCUGACGCAGCCAUGCCGCGUGAAUGAUGAAGGUCUUAGGAUUGUAAAAUUCUGUUAUCGGGAAAGAACACUUUGACCAGGAAAUGGGUUAGAGCUGACGGUACCCGAUGAGAAAGCCCCGGCCAACUACGU